ACUCAAUUAUUAUAAUUAGUAUAUCAAGCUUCCAACUUGAAGGUUUAAAUCUUAAAUUGAGUA
rnacentral:tRNA from 1 species